rnacentral:rRNA from 1 species
UAACACAUGCAAGUCGAACGAAAAGAGGGAAAGAGCUUGCUCUUUCCGGAAUUGAGUGGCAAACGGGUGAGUAACACGUAAACAACCUGCCUUCAGGAUGGGGACAACAGACGGAAACGACUGCUAAUACCGAAUAAGUUCCAAGAGCCGCAUGGCCCAUGGAAGAAAAGGUGGCCUCUACCUGUAAGCUAUCGCCUGAAGAGGGGUUUGCGUCUGAUUAGCUGGUUGGAGGGGUAACGGCCCACCAAGGCGACGAUCAGUAGCCGGUCUGAGAGGAUGAACGGCCACACUGGAACUGAGACACGGUCCAGACUCCUACGGGAGGCAGCAGUGGGGAAUCUUCCGCAAUGGGCGAAAGCCUGACGGAGCGACGCCGCGUGAGUGAUGACGGCCUUCGGGUUGUAAAACUCUGUGAUCCGGGACGAAAAGGCAGAGUACGAAGAACAAACUGCAUUGACGGUACCGGAAAAGCAAGCCACGGCUAACUACGUGCCAGCAGCCGCGGUAAUACGUAGGUGGCAAGCGUUGUCCGGAAUUAUUGGGCGUAAAGCGCGCGCAGGCGGCUUCCCAAGUCCCUCUUAAAAGUGCGGGGCUUAACCCCGUGAUGGGAAGGAAACUGGGAAGCUGGAGUAUCGGAGAGGAAAGUGGAAUUCCUAGUGUAGCGGUGAAAUGCGUAGAGAUUAGGAAGAACACCGGUGGCGAAGGCGACUU